rnacentral:rRNA from 1 species
UACGGAGGGGGCUAGCGUUGUUCGGAAUUACUGGGCGUAAAGCGCGCGUAGGCGGCUUUGUAAGUUAGAGGUGAAAGCCCGGAGCUUAACUCCGGAACUGCCUUUAAGACUGCAUCGCUAGGAUUGUGGAGAGGUGAGUGGAAUUCCGAGUGUAGAGGUGAAAUUCGUAGAUAUUCGGAAGAACACCAGUGGCGAAGGCGACUCACUGGACACAUAUUGACGCUGAGGUGCGAAAGCGUGGGGAGCAAACAGG